UUGUUGCAUACUCUUACUUACUGCAUAAAGUCAUAAUCCUUUAUGACGUAAUCAGCAUUUAUGCAAUAGCAAAUUGUUAAGUUGCAGAAAGGAAGUUGCACUUUAGGAAUUCUGAUCUGAAAGCACUCUGAGGGCUGUCACCGGAUGGCUGACUUCAGUAGGGCUUGAAGACAUCCAACAUUUCUCAUUGUCAGUCCUGCUUUCCUGAAGUCAACCAAACUGUGUUUUUGAAGAGAGAUUUCAUGAAGAGCCAGGACAUUAUUCAACAUAUGAAAAGAUGGACACAGCUUGGAUGCAAUCCCUGCUCAAGCUGAUGUGAAGUUUGCUACUGACCUUUGAGAAUCUAGAAUUUCACCAGAAGCUGGAAA
rnacentral:lncRNA from 1 species